GUCAGAGCAGACCCAACGGCACCAAGCGAGCAGCGUGACCGGCCGUGGCUCCCAGGCUGGAUAAACAACCCUGAUUAAGAGGGACUUGACAUGAAGUAAAGGGAGGUUUCCAGGCUCCGCUGAUCAAAGCCCAGCUCCAGUGCUUGAGAUAACUUAGGUAAAACUGCCCUCAGAUAACCAUCUCUUCAGUUUUAACCUCUCUGUAAUGAAAGCAUGUGCUGCCUGAAAUUUUUCAACUCCUGAAUUCAUCUCUGGAGAAUUUGUGAUUCUCAUGUUGCAGGAAAAGUCAGGCAAAUUUGAUGAGUCGUUCUUUCUCUUAACUAUUGAACCUUUGUGAGGCCAGCAUCGUACUUUCUAGCCUCGUGAUGUCGUUGGUAAGUGACAUUCAAGAAAUGAAAUAAGAGCUCCAGUCAAUGCUUGUUCAAGAAGAGCACAGGAGUUGCUCCAUCAUGGAUCAACCAUGGAAAAAAAAUGGACCCCAAGGGUAAUAAUACAGAAAUACUAGUGUUAAAGAGACAGAGAAAGGGUGCUUGUGAGAAGAAUACGACACAGCCCACCUUCGAAGGCUUGAAGGUUCCUUAUGUUAAUCUCCACUUGAGGUGUCUUACCAAGCCAAGCUAAGAGUGCUACUCAGCCGGGAUGAAUGAAGAAUAAUGCAUUUGGAAAAGAAUAACACCAAGGAGCCAAUAAGGAAGAUAACUUCAGACAGCUGUGGUGACAAAAACUGCAAAGGAGAGGUGCCGGUGAAUAACAAAUGCAGCGAAAUGGCAGGGGACCGGGUAUGUACACAGCACUGCAGGUGAAUGUGUCUCCUCAGGGGCAGGAACUGAAUACCAAAGUCACUGGAAGCCUGUCCCUGGUCUGCUCUGGAAAACUCUUCCCACUCUGUGAGAUUUAUGCUUAUUUCUCAGACUUUCUCACUUUUAAAAAGUUCUAACCUCUUUUGUUUAAAUGCAUACUUUGGUGUCACGUCUUUUCUCUUAUGAAGGAUAAAUGUUUUUGAACACUAAGCCUUUCCUAAAUAAGAUUUCCUAGGGAAGGCACUGAUGACUCUCGUUUGGAAAAUCCUCCUUUAUAAUUCAUUGGUUUCAAAGCAAGUACAGUGAAGCAUGGCUUGGAUCAAAAAAGCACCAUCACUAGAACUGAAAACGGUUGUAUUUCUGUGAAAACCCAAAGAGCAAAUGAAGAUAUGCAAAUGAGAAAAAAAGAGAUUUUUACCCAAAGGAUGUUUGCUAGUUUAUUGCCAGAGGCUAAUAAACACUUGCUUUGAAGUUCACUUAGAAUGACCUAAAAAAAACUUUUCCGGGAGUGAGGCGGGGGCACAGCAUGUGGAAGUGUCUUGGGCCAGGGAUGGAACUCAUGCCACAGCAGUGACAAUACCAUAUCUUUAACGGCUAGGCCACCAGGCCACUCCAAAAAAACUCUAAGCUUAGAUUAAGCCCAGUGAGUUCUGAUCACCAGAACAUUACAAUGGUUCAUACCUUGGUAGUGGCUAGUAUUUGCUAGUUGCUAUAUAAAGUUAACCAAAAAAAAUCAGCCCAUAAGGACAAUGUGGUAUAAACAAAUGGACAGAGAGAAAGCCUCCAUUUUUAUUAGAACAUUGAUAGAAUAAAUACUGAUGCAAAUAUCAGAAGCUCCCUUUUCUUUCUUUAUUAGAUUAAUAAGCAUUUAUUAACGCCACAGUAUUGAAUCAGGCAGAGUGCCUUCCACUCCUGCCUUAUGAGAUGGGCUGCUAGUGGGUCUGGGGGGCAGGUGAUGGACAUUAUCUAAGGGGCAGAUAUUUAAAAAAGAGGAAUUAAGACACCCACCCAACAGGAAGUAGAACAAAAAGAAAACACCCUCCAAUGUAAAAUGUUUUAAAAAUUUAGGAAUCCUUGAGGCUUUUGAAUGUUAGAAGGAACACCAUAGAAAUAAUCUUGUGGCCUUGUUUAAAUAAAAAGCAUUGUUGGGCAGAGCCUUGCCCUUUGCAAAAGUCCUACAGUAAGAGAACUGAAUCUAAUCAAAAUGGAUAGGUCAGUUAAAUUAAGGCAAGGCUGACAGAAAAUGGUUUUAAUUAUUCUUCAGAGGUGCUAUUCUGCAGGCACCUGGCCCAGAAAAUGCAAACACAAAAAUAGGAUGCAAAUGGCUCCCCAGUGUACUCGUACGUCUUAAAGCAAUGUUAUGGGAUUUUAGUCUUGUUUUUAAAUUUGCUACUUGUCCUCAAAAGCCAUCAUGCUUUUCACAACUCUCUUAAGGCUGAGCUGCUGAAGCUUCUUCAACUUUAUGCUGGGCUGUCUACAUUUGGCUAAGUACAUUUUUUAAAAUUUUGUGACUCUGCCAUCAACGUAAACUCUGAAGUUCAAUGUCAACUGGAAUAGUACAACUCUCAGUGGGAUCCGUGAAAAUGAAAGUGCAAAUGGGAACUGGAGGUGUGGUUUCUAAUGAGUUAGAAAGAAAAGAUGAGUAAUGUAACUUCUUCCAGGGUCAAGAAUAUCUAUUUGGGAAAUGUGUUGCCUUUUAUUCUUUAUACUUAGAAAAUAAAAUAGAAUGGCAGAAAUUCCAUGUUGUCCAGUGA